ACCACAUCUGUCAGAACCAAGGGGUCUUGGGAGAGUCCCCAUCGUCCCUCUUCAAAGAGAUGGCACCAAGUCGCUUCUAUUAUGAGAGCGAGAGGAGGUUCUAGUCUAUGUUCACGUCUUUAUCCUCAACAGAAUAACUUUUAAAAGCCAGAUGGACUCUGCUAUAGAAGCAGAUGUCAAAUGUGGCUUUUCUCCAUUGAAAACUGAUGCCUGGCAAAUUGGAGACUAACAUACAUAGGUAUAGAGAUUUUUUUCCCUUUUAAUUUUAAUAGUAAACUGAGUCUAUACUUUCAAUUCAUGAUGAAAUGCUAAAAAUGUGUACUCUUGUUUUCUGCCAGUGCUUGGCUGACGGAGUUUUUGGCCGUUCUGUGGCAUGGAAUGCAAUCAGCAUGGAAGCAUCGUUUGUCGUUGUGGAUUCUGAGUAAGAUUUCUCACCCUCUGCUCAUGAUGGUGGUGAUCAGCUCAGAUGUGUUGGAUGGUAUGGUGGACAUUGAGGAGCUGCUCACCUGGAUCAGCGAUGAGUUUGAGGACGCAGAGCUGGCGGGUGGGUGUCUGCAUAGAGUAGGUGUAGCAAGGCAGCUGUCGCCGUUUGGGGGGAUGCUCUGGCUGUUUCAGACGUGGCAGGUGCUCUCGAGGAUCCCUGGGAGAACCAAGAUGGUUCCAGAGUCAGAGAGAAAUACCUGAAGGGUGAUCUGCUUCAGGACGAGGUGCUGGGGGAAGUAGACAGCCAGGAAAGAGAACAACUCAUUGCAUGGAUCAGUGCCACGGAGCCACAAAGCCCUGAUGUCUCCAGCAGCCCUGCCCCUCCUUGCUUCAUUGCCCAGCUCCCCGACUUCCCACAGUACAGCAGGAGGUCAGC